CUGUGGUGUGACGCCGGGGUUCUGUGCAAGUGCCAUCCGGACAAGGAAGCUUCCGGAGAAUCAGCCCCAUCAGGGCCCAGAACCACUGGGGCCGCGACUCCCCCAGGCUGCCCUCGACUCCAGCACACGCGGCAGCACCACGUGCCGGACACAGCGGCUCUGCUGGAGGCUCAGGGCUAUGUGGCAUGAAGGAAGCUGAGCCCCAUUACAGUGCAUACUCUCUGUACCUGGGGGGCGUGUAAGACCUCUGAGCUGCAGCUCCUGUAAACCAGACCCUGGACGUCUGCUGUCGGGCUGUGGCACCCAGGCCAGUGUGAGGCCAUCACAGGGCAGGUGCUCAGGAUCUAGAAGCCUGGGACUCCCCACGGGCUGGGGGUGCACUGGCUGCCUCCUGAGUUUGCUCCCCAACCCAGUCAAUGGCUGCUCACCCCUCCAGGGCCCCCCUUGGCUUCUUGCCGCUAAGACUUAUUCCAAGCAGCCCGAGCAGCUGAGGUGGGUAGGCGAGGCCUCAUCCGAGAACCACCACCCCACGCCACGGUCAGGCCGCACACCUGGGAGGCAGGGACCCUCGGACGGUGGCUGGCUCAGCUGGGAUGAACACCUGUGGAGGAUUCCUGGGAAGAACACCGUUGCAUGUUUCCGCAAGAACCAGAAACCUGGUUUGUGUUUCUCGGUUUGUUUCCCUCUCGCAGGGUAACUGAGCUGUAGAGCUGGGGGCUGGGCCACUUAGAACGGUCCACCCUUUCUGGCCCCCCCGGCCUUCCUCCUGGUCCUAACGCUGGGUUCUGUCCAGGUGCCGAGCCGUCCUCGGCCCUCUCCCUUCUCCCUGUCCGUCCCUGGCAGUGCCCCAUGCGCCCAGGGCUUGGCCACCAUCUGGAAGCAGGUAACCCCUACAUCACGCGUCCAGCUGCUUGCCCGGCGCCUCCUCCGGGAUGUCUCUAAUGCACCCAGGUCCAGCGCGCCCCGUGCCCCUCUUUUCUGCACCGUGCAG
rnacentral:lncRNA from 1 species